rnacentral:rRNA from 1 species
GACGAAGUGGCGAGCGUUGUUCGGAAUCACUGGGCAUAAGCGCACGUAGGCGGCGGCGUAAGUUGGGUGUGAAAAUCCCUGGGCCCAACCCAGGAACUGCGCCCAGUACUGCGCUGCUUGAGGAUCCAAGGGGUGGCAAUGGAAUUUCCGGUGGAGCGGUGAAAUGCGUUGAUAUACGGGAGGAACGUCCGGCGGCGAAAGGCGGAUGCACUGGUGGAUUGACUGACGCUGAGGUGCGAAAGCCAGGGAGGCAAACGGG